AAAAAACUCUGCUUUUUGACAGGUUUCUCUCUUUCCAUAUUUUUCACUCUCCGUUUGCUAUGUAUGUGCUGUUCAUUGGCGUCAAUCUACACAUCUGGGCAAAGUAACAUAAAAAAAGACUUGUAUUUUCCCCUUCGAUCCCUCUCUUUCUUCUCCAAAUUCUCACUUUAUCGCUACCUUAUUUUGGGACGACAGAACAUGGAGAGAAGAGAUCUGGGGAAAGAAAGGUGUUGUUUUUCUGAUCUGAAAAAAGAUUUCAAUUUGAGCAGAUCGAGGAAUUCCUCCACUCUGUAAGCUUUUUCUUAUCUCUUUCUUCCUUCUUUUUUUUUCUUUAUCAAUUUGACUGAUUGUUUCCAAUCACUGUCACUUCUUGCUGUUGCUUAACAAUGGCUUCACCUGGUAAUCCAAAUCAACAACAAGGAUGUGCUUGCAAGGCAAGGAGCUCUGACUGCAGAGUUCACUUUAAGGCAUUGUGUUUCUGAUUUAGAUGGGUUUUGUUUUCUAUGGCCUUUACUUCUUGUAAAGCAACAAGAUUACUCUCUUAAACAAAAAUUAAGUUGUUCUUUUUCUAUGAGAAAGAGGAUUACUCUCUCAAAACCUUAGCACCUCUCUCUAAAGCUUCAGGAUCAAACUCAGUAGUGUUGUUUGUGGGUGAACAUUCCUAGGAGCUCUAGAUUACCCGCCGCCGUUGAUUGAGGCAAAGUGGAUGGCUGAGAUUGUACAAAAGAAGAAGACGAAGAAGAUUGAGGGGAAGGAGAAGGGUUUGAAGAAGAGAAAGGAGAGAAACUAAAAGAUCCA